UGGGGGAGGCCAGAUCUUGGGCUGUGUCCCGGCGCCCUGUGCUCCCGGUCUGCGCUUUAGGAUUCGUGCUCCUUGCCGCGCAGCCACCU
rnacentral:pre_miRNA from 1 species